rnacentral:lncRNA from 1 species
AAAAGACUUUAUGUUUACAAUGAUCACAAAUCAUCAAAUCAAAAUGCCAAACUUCUUUAGUGUUUUCUUAUUUCCCGAAUACGCAGAACUCAUGUUUACAAUUAUCACAAAUCAUCAAAUCAAAAUGCAGGAACAAACUUGUUUGUGUGAAAAAGAAAGAAACAAUAAAAUCACCGUGUUCUUCUUCACCAAAUUCUUCCUCUUCCGUUAGGCAGAUCCGUGCACAGUGUGUUAAGACGAUACACAUAUUAGAAAACAAAUACGAUGUAUUACAGAGACUGAGGAAGCUAGACAUAAAGGAGAGGAGCACCUCCAGCCACGGCGUCUCCUCUUAUGUCUCUCUCCCCCUCUUUGACAUGCCAUUUAGCCCCUGCCUAUCAACAACCAUCGGUCCCUGGAGAUAUGCUUGCUAUCUUGCUUGUGGACACAUCCAUCCGUAUUCUUCUUGCACACUGCCACUGGGAGAGUUGACAGGGUCGUAAGAGGAGGGGCUAUUGUAUUUCACAAAAACUUACCUGUUCCACUCAGGCACUCAGACCAUACAACAUUGUCAGAAAAUCAUUAAGUGGUAUAAAACUGCUAUGGUACUACAUACUGUUAUGUUGCACCGGUAGCUAUAUAGAUUGAAAAGUGGCACGCCUAGGGAUGGCUCUAGCGAUAUAAUUUCUACUGCAAAAUUAAUGACACAAUAAUCCUAGUUUUUAUGUGAAAAUUAAUGAUGACACACAAGCAGCUCAAAAUUGAUAGGGUUCCUACAAGUACGUGAGUUAUUUAGUUCCAACUCCCACAUGAGGUAUAUCUACUUUAAAUCAAAACAUAGAUGAUAGGAAAGACAAAUGCAAUGUAAGCAGAAAUCAAUCACAUCACUGUAGCCCACAAAUCAUUUUUUUUAUCUCUAGAAGGAAAUGUUAGCAGCACCUCCAGAAUCAUUAUUAAGUACAUAGUAACAGACUAAUGAUGUUUGGAGCAGCUAAUAGAUACAGUAAGUAUGGCCUUCAGUGAUAGAGCAAAAACUUUUCUGAAUAAUAGAUGUAUAUUUGCAUAUGGUGCAUCUGAUGAAACAAAAGUACAACCAAACAGUAAUCUUGAAAUAACAAUCUGCAAGCUCUGAAAAUUAGAAAUGAAAAUGAAAAUUAUUGGGGCAGGCAAGAUUCUACUACAUGUACGACUGCUACGAACUAGAUUGGGGACUGAAGCAAAUGAAAAUUAUUGGGGCAGGCAAGUAUGGCUACAUAGUAGUACAUACCCAUGUAACAUACCUGAUGACAGAAUGAUUAGUAGUAGAGCUCGAGGACGCUGGUUGUGGUUGCCUCCCGCUUGCCGGUCACGUUGUUAGCCACUCGGGUCCCUUCAACACCACCAUCCGGAGAACCCAGAUCCAUCAGACAUUAGUCCAAUUGGGAGCUCGAGGGGCACCUGAGCGAGCAGAUUGGGGU